UACAGAGGUCUCAAGCGUUGUUCGGAUUCAUUGGGCGUAAAGGGUGCGUAGGCGGCGCGGUAAGUCGGGUGUGAAAUCUCGGAGCUUAACUCCGAAGCUGCAUUCGAUACUGGCGUGCUUGAGGACUGGAGAGGAGACUGGAAUUCAUGGUGUAGCAGUGAAAUGCGUAGAGAUCAUGAGGAAGACCAGUGGCGAAGGCGGGUCUCUGGACAGUUCCUGACACUGAGACACGAAGGCCAGGGGAGCAAACGGG
rnacentral:rRNA from 1 species